UUUUUUUUUUUUCCAAGACCUCUCCUUUAAUAAAUCACCUGCACACCAAUCCCCAUCUGAAGACCAAGAACACAACCUAAGAUUCCUAGAAGCAAAUGUUGAUGAAAAGAUAGGCAUAUAAGUGAUCUUCCAGUUUGGGCAUAUAGAGGUUUUGGCCUAUGGGAGCCCAAGAAAUGGCAAAAAGACAAAAAAAUAAAAUAAAUAAAUAAAUAAAUAAAAUUGGAAUUGUGCUAAAUCCUAUCUUGUUCCUGAAAUAAAUAUAUGACUUAAUACAAAAACUAAUUUUUAAGAAAACAUGGUCUAUCUUCAUUAAUAGAUGAAGGUCCAAUAAACUUUUAUAUUUAGUGAUUAUUUAUCAAUAUUUAAUAUAAUUACAAUUUUGAUCAAUGUGUGCUAAUAAUAACAGCAAUAAAACCUCUGGAUGGACUUUUACAUCCAGAUGUAAUUUUUGGAUCCAGAUGUAAUUUUUGAAAUUUAGAGGAUUAUGGAUUCAGGAAAUUAUUUUUAUUUUAAGAUUCUGAGACUAUACAAUGAGCAAUAAAAAUUUUAAGCAUAUUUCAUUGAUAAGAUUUUAUAAGGUAAGUGAACAAAAAUAUGAAUUAAAAGAGAAAAAAGACUGGUGCAGAGUUUUCAACCAAUAAAAAACUUGCUUUUAUAUUUCAAAUACAUAAUGGUGAGAAUCAAAUUAUUAUAAUAUUGUAGAAUCUAAAUGGAUAUAUUUUAAAAUGAUUUAGAUUCUUAAUUUCAAAAUGUCAAUAUUUACAACAUACCAGAAAUUAUGAAAAAAAACUUGAGUUCUAUAAUUAUUCCAAAAAUCUUUCAAGGUAUAGGGAACAAAGAAAUUAGAACUUCCUUGUUUACUUCUCGUGCCUUCUCAUUAUUUAUGGAAUUAGAAAGUAAGCUUUCCUAGCCCAACUUUGACAUUUGCUCUUUGAUCCGUUGUUCCCUUAGAAAUUGAGGUCUCCAAAUCAUGGAAAUGUAGACAUGAUGAAAAACUGCCCAAACAAAUAUGUCACUAAUCAUUUGCUUUACCAUAAAACUCAUGAUAAGUUUCUUUUAAGUAACAAUCUGCUCUAGUGUUUCUGAAAUAUGGCUCUAUGAAUAAAAAUUCAUCAUUGCAUUCUAUUUGCUGGCUCUUCACUUUUUAAGUCUUAAAUUAAAAAUAUGAUGCUUUGAUUCUGUAGCAGAUCUUCAAGAAUAAUCCCUUCUUAAGUGUCUUCACAAAUAUGUUAUGGAGUUUAGCAUGACAGCAGAAAGUAAACAGGUGAGAAGGGAGAAAGGAAAAGAGGAGAAGAUGAAAUGGUAUGAUGAUACCAAAGAAGAGGGUGGGUAACUCUAAGCAUCCAGACCUUUUCAAAAGUGGCAUCACUAAAUUUUAUCACUAAUUCACAAUAGGAUUAAAAUGCAAAUCAUUUUUAUUUAAGAGCAAAGCUAAGUAUCAGUUUAAUAUAAUUCUUGUCUCUGGAGCAAUACCAGCCAGAUUUCUUUCAUAGUUUUCUCUCUGAGACAAGAAAUGCCUAAUGAAACAAGGUACGGAGUAUUUCUUAAGAUUUGCUGAUCCUUAUAAGCCCCUUGACCUCUCUAUGGUACUCCAUUCUUUUACCUAUAAAAUGAGAAGGUGGCCCUAAACCAAUAAUUUGGGGAAGGGUAAGGUGGGUAAAUGAGAAGGGACAUGUCCCAAGGGAUGAAUUUUUUAGACAGAGAGGAUUUUGUUCUUUCCUUCAAAAGGAACAAAAGGCUGCCAUCACAAUCUAGCUUUAAUUUUAAGGUCGCUUCCAACAAUGAGAUGCUAUAUUCCUGAACUAUGACUAGAAAACAUUGAUAUUUCUUUGUUCCUCUUCUCCCCUGUCCUUUGUUCCUGGCAAGCAUCACUAUUUACUCCUUGUUGCUUAGAUGAGGUGUGUGCCUGGGAGGAGGAGGGAAUAAAAGAUGUAACUAGAGACCAAUUUUCAGCCCCUCUGAGGCUCAAUCUGUAGUUCUACGUUUUUAUGACUUCACAACCCUCCCAGCUUAAGAAAAAAAUUAUGAGGAAUUUUAAAAGAUCCCUUUUUCUCUCAUCUUGAAGCCUGUUAAAUGAUAUUUGUAAAAAGAAGGUACAAAAUAAGAGGUUGCCAAAUAAGUUACUUUUUCUAAAUCAGAGAAGUUCAAAGAUAAAAUGGGGCCUGUCUUGGUGGUCAGCUGUCAGAGUGAAAUUUAAUUUAGCAAUGACAAUAGACAAAGUAUGUCAGACUAAGUGCUUGAUCAAGAAUCUGAAAACUUUUCAAUAAAACAGCCUUGAUUUCAGUUAGGGCAGACAACACCAGGUAGAGAACGACUAUGCUGAAAAUAAAUUAAGAAAAUGUCUUGCAGGAUCAAGGGAAAAAAUUCUUUAUUAUCUUCCCAACUCAUCUUCCUCUAUGUAACUUUCAGAGACUCUUCAUUUUAGGAGGUUUUCCAGCCAUAGUGAUGGGUUGAUGGAGAUGUCGUGUUCCUGGAUCUAGUGACUUCUUGUCAAGGCUCCAAAGCCCAGAGUCACUCCUAUUUAGAAAAUCUCCUAUAUCCUUUUGGAUUACGCUUGAUCUCUUUUUAUCUAAUUAAUUACAUCUCAGGAACCAUGAAGUAAUUACAUUAAGAGCUUGGAGGCAUGCCUUCAGGAAUGUCACUGUGGCUUUCUGUUUGUUUGCUUUAAAGCAAACCAGCACUUUGGAACUUGGUUCAGAUUAGCAAUUUUGUGCUUUCAGUUAGAUACCAAGCAAUGGUUCUACUCCUGGUUACUAAAAUAAGAAAGCAGGUAAAGGACAUAAAGGAAUGUGACUCAAUCUCUCUCUUCCCUUUGUAUUCUACUUUAGCAUAAUGACUUUAGACCUCUGGACUUCAGUUGGGAGCACAGAGGCUAUUGGCAAACUUUACUUGUUUACCUGAGGGUCAAGUGGGAUGAAAAGCAGAAUAGGAAGACAGAACUUUCCAAGGACUGGCCCUGGUAAAAGCACAGAGAAACAAUACAGAUCAGCAAAGGGACUUUUUUUUUUUUCCCUUUUCUUCCUUUUUAAAAAAUAUUGUCAAUCUAGUAAGUGCUGAAGACUAUUUGCUAAGCUGUUCAAAGACAUAACUAUUCUGAGAUUACUCCUUCACUUGUCUACUCUCAUAGGCCUCUGUGAACAUCUGUGCCAUGUGUACAGGCCUCUUCCAAACAAAAGGAAGAGGUCUGAAGAGGAUAUGCUCUCAGAAAAGCUGUAAAUACAUUUAAGAAAUUCUCUGAAAGUUCAUCAGCUACCUGAUUUCCUAGGCAAGGCUUCUUAUCACAUUAACCAUGAUUUAAGAUGGAAGUGGGGGGAUAGAAUAAAGAUAGAGGAAUAAGAAGGGGAGGAAAAGGGAAGGUAAUGAAUGAUUAAUGAAAAUCUGGUGAUUAAUGGAAAAAAGAUUUUAAGAAAUAAUAAAGCAUUUAUCCCUAGGGUAGAAAACAGGAAAAAACAAAAAUGAGUACCAAAUUGAAACUGGCAAAACACUGAAAGAAGAGAGUAGAACAAAGAAACAGAGUAGGACAAAGAAAUGCUCCUUUCAGUAUAAGAUUGUUGAAAAGACACACAGGAUUUGAAAACUUACCAUUUAGGAGAUAUUUGCUUAAACAAAAAUAAAUUUAUAUUUGCCUGAUUUCCUGAAAGUUACCAAUAAUGGGCCAUUUAUGGAUAAGAGCCUGCAGAUAUUCAGGUAUACAGAAGCCAGACUUUGUGUCUGUUGAACGUUUCUUUCUCUUCAAAAUCUGACACAGCAUCAGAGUGCAUGAGAACCCUCAGCUGCAUGGAUCCAUCACCAAUGAAUGAGAACCUGGCUUUUCAGAUGCACACUUUUUAGUGAGCACACUGGGCUCUCCAGAGCAGCAUGUAUGUGAAUUACCUAUGUGUGGGCACAGCCUAAGGGAAAACUCAUAUGAGGCACAGAGGCAAUUUAUAAACACAAGCUGUACAUUGAUAAGGAGACAGAAGUAUAUCACAAAGGGUGUAGAUGCCCAGGUUUUUCCACAAAAGCUGACCUUCACACAUGCAAGGGAAAAAUACCACAAAAACAUUCCUAUG
rnacentral:lncRNA from 1 species